rnacentral:rRNA from 1 species
CCUACGGGUGGCAGCAGUGAGGAAUAUUGGUCAAUGGCCGGAAGGCUGAACCAGCCAAGCCGCGUGAGGGAGGAAGGCGCAGAGCGUCGCAGACCUCUUUUGCCGGGGGACAAAAGGCCGGACGGGUCCGGUUCUGAGGGUACCCGGAGAAAAAGCAUCGGCUAACUCCGUGCCAGCAGCCGCGGUAAUACGGAGGAUGCGAGCGUUAUCCGGAUUUAUUGGGUUUAAAGGGUGCGCAGGCGGAGGUGCAAGUCAGCGGUCAAAUUGCGGGGCUCAACCCCGUACUGCCGUUGAAACUGCAUCCCUUGAGUGCGCGAGAAGUAUGCGGAAUGCGUGGUGUAGCGGUGAAAUGCAUAGAUAUCACGCAGAACUCCGAUUGCGAAGGCAGCAUACCGGCGCGCAACUGACGCUCAUGCACGAAAGCGUGGGUAUCGAACAGGAUUAGAUACCCUGGUAGUC